rnacentral:lncRNA from 1 species
GUUGCAUUGGGUUGCCAGGUUCCCAAAAGGCUGUAGCUCGAACAGUUGGCACCUCAUGUGCCAUCAAUCAUGUGUUUGCUUCCCCCUCUUGUGCACAGAGCAUGUCCUCUGUAAGCGAACACUGAGAAAGGGAACAGAUCCAUGGCAUGGAUAUGCACAUGUUCUGCAGAGUAACAGCCUGUAAUGGAAUCCCUGAAAGAAACUCCAAAGGGAGAAAAAUUCCAGCGUAUUUUUGCUUGCAUUCACAGAUGCGGGCAGAGACCAAGAAGCCCAUAUGGUCUAACUUUGACACCUCUCAUCCAUCAAACCAAAAAGCAGCUAACAAUCUUGGAUGUCCCAUCUGUGACAUCUGACUUCCAGAGGAGAAUGUCAGGAAUUUCUGAAGAAUCAAAACCCCAUACCCAGCAUAUGUUUUGAACUGGGCACCCAAAACAAAUGGACUCUUGGAAGGAGGCUCCUGUUUUCCAAACACUCCCAAAUAACUUUGAAUACUUCAUUGAAGAAGUGAGAUGUCUGCCAGAAAAUUGUAAACUAUUCAGAAAUGCCAAGCACAAGAAGGGAACAUUAAGAAAAGCCUAUUUGGCAUCCAAUGGUAAAUUCAAAAAAUAAUAAAAAAUAAUUAAAAACCCCA